GUUUGAAGGGUGCAGUGUAUUAUGUGUUGCCUCAGCCAUUUGUAACUGAAUUCCUGAAGUUGCAGAAGCAUUAGUCUGAGCAUUCUUCACAUUCACUGAAGUGAAAGAAAAAAUCAUUGAUGUCUUGAAGUCUGCUACAUCAAGACAAUGUCCAUGAUGUAAAAGGAGGCUGAAGCACACAAAAGAGGAUCAACUUAGCAAAUAGAUGCUGACGUCACAACACUUGGACUUCAGAACAUCCAAAUUCUGCAGCUGGUCAAGAUGCCGUUCAGAAUGAAGAAUUGAAGCAUGGGGACUUCAUCACAAAACAUAAAAGUGACUUAAAAAUCUACUCAUGGCACACGAAGUAGAAGCAUGGCCAAAGAGAGAUGUGGUUACUUUUUGAUCUACCUUUUCCAACAUUCAUAGUCUCAUGGUGUGGAUAGUCGUGGGGACACCUGGUUAGUACAAUGUCAGCAUAUCAGUUAUGUUGAGGCCAUUCAGGAAGACUGAUGGCAGAGUCUACAAUUACUUGUUCUAUUUAUGUUCCUACACCAGAGGCAGUUAGACAGUUCCAGUCCUUCAAAAUGUUAACUGACUUAUCAAAGUAGCUUGGAGAAGCUAGAAUCAUAGAAUCAUUAAGGUUGGGAAAGACCUCUAAGUAAUCAUCCAACUCAAAUGUCAGCCUAAUACUGCCAUGCCUGCUAAAUCAUGUCAUGGAAUUCCACAUUUACAUGUUUUUUGAACACCUCCAGGGAAACAUACUCCACUGCUUUGACCACUCUUUUGAUAAAGAUUUUUUUUUCUAGUAUCCAACCUAAACAAGCUGUUCUACAAGUCUACCUUGAGAAUAAAAUGGCAAGGGAUCCUAUUCACUCCAAAAGCUUUGGAAAGAUUAUUUCCUGCUGAGCUUUCAGUUAUGUACAAACCCUGAGGUCUCAAAACACAGCGAGUGGCAAAUUUACUACUUAAGAUUCCUUAACAGACAAACUAAAAAACUCUGGAAAAAUAACAGAUGAACAUCAACUGAAAUCGCAUGGAUAUCCAAGCAUGUUGUUCAGGCAAAGUCAGCUGGUGGAGUGACUGAGAAUCAGUUUUCAGAGUCUUCAGAAAAAUGGUGAGAAAUGAAGCUUCCGAUGCAUCAUCUUGUAUACAACAAAAUCUUUUACAAGACUGAAACCACAGAAGAUGAGUAAGCUUCAGAGUUUAGCGUUUAAAUAUUUGGAAAAGGAUUAAUUGGAGAGCAUGAACAGUGGAGAGAGGACCUGGAGAAAGACAGUCCAUAGCCAGACAUUUGAUAUUUUAGACAGGAAAUAUCACCACCUAAUUCUCUGUCCAUUUUUUAAAAGAUAGUGCCAUAGAAAACAAGAAAACAUUUUAAAAGUUUUCCUGUCUUCCUUAGCCAUCUGCUGAGCAAAAGGAAAUGGUAACUUGGAUUUAAUUCAUGCUAAUGGGAGAACCAUUCCUAAUGAAGAUGGACAUGUGAAUCUUCUUCAGCCAUGCUGGAAAGAAAAUUAAAUCAUCACUAAAAUAUUUUCUUAUAGGCAUCUUCGCUAUAAAAUAUUUGAAGCAUUAUGUUCAAAGCAGGUUUACAUUACGUAAACAAACUAACAUUCUUCUUCCCUAAGGCAAAAGAAAUCAUGAGUGCCACUGUUCUUAGAUUUUUAUUUAUUAAUAGCUAGAACUUCAAAUGUAAUGAAUUUGUCAAGAAAACUAAAGAGUAUCUCUAAAACUAUAGCAGUGUUUUUAUGCUCUGGGGAAAGAUUGCCUCAGUAUUUUUCUAAUACACCUAUCUUUCAGGUCAGUGAUCCAUGAACUUGGAAGAAUUUUCAAAUAAGCCACCGAGAGCUUAAAAGGAGCUUUUUGUCUGUUGUGUCAACCAGCACAUCUGAAAUAACGUCGCAGUGUUUAAUGUGACACAUUAUAUUGGGCUGCAUGAUUUUUGUGGCAAACCUGGAGUUAGUCUGGUCUUUUACAAGGGUAACUUAAGCAAUAUCCCAUUUUCUACUCUGGCCAACAGCUUCAGCUUCCCAGCUUCAAAUAAAAAAUGAUGUUCAAAGUUAAAUUAGAGAGAAUUUUUCAGAAUCAAUCUAACAUUGUAAAGAAAAUCAGGAUGCUAACAUGUGAGACCAAAUCUCUGCACAAAAUUAUUAUAUACUUUUAUCUUUAGAUUGAACAACUGUGCUCCUCUGAUUUUGAGUUGAA